CCUGGUCUCUGAGCUCCAUGCGGUCUCCGGGCUCCUCUGUGUCUUCACUGGGCUGUCUUUAUGUGAUCAAAACAACCAGCUGACUGGGGGCGUGGGAAAUGCGCUGAACUACCGUCUGGUUUAUUCCACCUGACGCCGCAUCACCAGCCUGAUGGACUUUCUCCCCCACGGGGCCUAACAGGCUGCUCUGAGCAGAAAGGAGCAAACUCCACCCCAAAGUUUCUGCACACAACUAGGGAUCUUCCUGGACCUGACAUGAGAACCUCUCGUGCACCUGGAGAUAAAACUAACCCACGGGAGCGGCUUGCCACCCACCCCACAGCGCAGGCGGCCGGAAGUCCGCCUCCCACUCUCGCCCCAUCAGUGCUUCUGGAAAAGCGCAGGACACCUGCCCCACCAGCUGUCAGACGUGACACGUCAGGCUGGGAAGGAGGUUUCUGAACUUUUCCCAGGCUCGCACAGACCCUCCAUCCCAGCCAUGCGCUCUCUAGUGCGGUCAGCUGGGAAUCCCUUUCCACCCGACAAGUACGUACCUUUCAGGGCUUAUUCAACAGAAACCUCGAGGGCAGAGUAUAAAUUUGUCAAGCAAGGACAGGGGAUGUAAAGCCGAAAAGGGAACAGAGAGGCACAGGGCUCAUCACAGAGGCUCGCCGGAAAGCUGAGUCUGGGCUUGGGCACGGAGACCCCCGUGGCGUCUGCACGAUCACAGCACUUCUCAGCGUGUCCUGCGCCUCGGUACCCGCGUCAGCGCCCUCUUCCCCACCAGCCUCUUCCCCCUUCCCCUCUGCAACCCCAGUCUGUGCGCGGGACACACUAAGCACUGUUUGUGGAGUACAUGACUCCAAGUGGAUGAGCGUGUUCAGGAUCCUGAGCCCGUGGGAACAUUCCAUUUACAAUCCCGCUCCACUUACGCUGAGAGGGCGAGGAGCUGCCAAAUGAAAGCAUCUGUUACGGAUUACCAACACUGUUCUCCAUCUCCUGACGCCCAGGGUCAGAGGGCCGGGAGGCUGCGACUCUGAGCUGGGCCCAGCGCGCACAGUGUACAGUGCCCGGGGGGGCGGCCGUGUCUGCAGGAGCCCCCCCGGCCUCGCCCCCCUGCCUGCCCAGGCCGCAGAGACAGAAGGCCGUUCUGGGCAAGGGCGCUCCGCCCUCCCCAGCUCCUCAUAGUGUCAGCUGAGGGUCACUUCUGCAAAGACAGGAUCCCACCUCCCGGUCCCCCAGCUCUCGCAGAGCUGCCUGCUCAGCCCAGUGCCCUGACUCGGUCGCCCCCUGCAGACAGAACAAAUCACCACACUGUCUGACUCUGUCUCCCGGGCAGGACUGGGAACGGGGUUUGCCUGGGGCCCAGGGCAAGUCACUUGGCACUAAAACCCGGACAGCGGCGG